ensembl:lncRNA LINC01841 long intergenic non-protein coding RNA 1841
ACGAGCGGGGGUGGGGAAGAGAAGAGGGCACAGAGGCCAGCGGAUGAGAGAGACACCAGGGAGCCUGGGAUGCCUGCCCGAGGCUCUGGCCACGCCCAUGCCCUGCCUGUCCCGCUAAGCACACAGAGGAAAGGCCAUGUGAGGACACAGCAAGAAGGCGGCCAUCUGCAAGCCAAGAAGAGAGUCCUCACCAGGAACCAACUCUGCUGACACCUUGCUGUUGGACUUCCAGCCUCUAUAAAUGUUCACAAGCACACCACUGUUUACACCCAUCUAGAAGGCCCCUCCCAGCUGACAUCUUUCUGCCUACCUUUCAGGAAGACAGACGAAACUCUCUGCCUUCAGGUGGGGCAAGACUGCUGAUGGCUGGAACAGGAGCUUGGCACCUCCACCCUGACCCAGACACAAGCCUGUCUGUCCCACUCAAAUCGAGCUGGCCAGAGACUACAACUGUGUUGGUUCCCAAGACAUAGAAAAGCCAGAAGAGGUCGGGCGCAGUGGCUCACGCCUGUCAGCACUUUGGGAAGCCGAGGCAGGCAGAUUACCUAAGGUCAAGAGUUCAAGACCAAUCUG